rnacentral:rRNA from 1 species
GACGAACGCUGGCGGCGUGCUUAACACAUGCAAGUCGAACGGAAAGGCCCUGCUUUUGUGGGGUGCUCGAGUGGCGAACGGGUGAGUAACACGUGAGUAACCUGCCCUUGACUUUGGGAUAACCUCAGGAAACUGGGGCUAAUACCGGAUAGGAGCUCCUGCUGCUUGGUGGGGGUUGGAAAGUUUCGGCGGUUGGGGAUGGACUCGCGGCUUAUCAGCUUGUUGGUGGGGUAGUGGCUUACCAAGGCUUUGACGGGUAGCCGGCCUGAGAGGGUGACCGGCCACAUUGGGACUGAGAUACGGCCCAGACUCCUACGGGAGGCAGCAGUGGGGAAUAUUGCACAAUGGGCGGAAGCCUGAUGCAGCAACGCCGCGUGCGGGAUGACGGCCUUCGGGUUGUAAACCGCUUUCGCCUGUGACGAAGCGUGAGUGACGGUAAUGGGUAAAGAAGCACCGGCUAACUACGUGCCAGCAGCCGCGGUGAUACGUAGGGUGCGAGCGUUGUCCGGAUUUAUUGGGCGUAAAGGGCUCGUAGGUGGUUGAUCGCGUCGGAAGUGUAAUCUUGGGGCUUAACCCUGAGCGUGCUUUCGAUACGGGUUGACUUGAGGAAGGUAGGGGAGAAUGGAAUUCCUGGUGGAGCGGUGGAAUGCGCAGAUAUCAGGAGGAACACCAGUGGCGAAGGCGGUUCUCUGGGCCUUUCCUGACGCUGAGGAGCGAAAGCGUGGGGAGCGAACAGGCUUAGAUACCCUGGUAGUCCACGCUGUAAACGGUGGGUACUAGGUGUGGGGUCCAUUCCACGGGUUCCGUGCCGUAGCUAACGCUUUAAGUACCCCGCCUGGGGAGUACGGCCGCAAGGCUAAAACUCAAAGGAAUUGACGGGGCCCCGCACAAGCGGCGGAGCAUGCGGAUUAAUUCGAUGCAACGCGUAGAACCUUACCUGGGUUUGACAUGGAUCGGGAGUGCUCAGAGAUGGGUGUGCCUCUUUUGGGGUCGGUUCACAGGUGGUGCAUGGCUGUCGUCAGCUCGUGUCGUGAGAUGUUGGGUUAAGUCCCGCAACGAGCGCAACCCUUGUUCACUGUUGCCAGCACGUUAUGGUGGGGACUCAGUGGAGACCGCCGGGGUCAACUCGGAGGAAGGUGGGGAUGACGCCAAGUCAUCAUGCCCCUUAUGUCCAGGGCUUCACGCAUGCUACAAUGGCUGGUACAGAGAGUGGCGAGCCUGUGAGGGUGAGCGAAUCUCGGAAAGCCGGUCUCAGUUCGGAUUGGGGUCUGCAACUCGACCUCAUGAAGUCGGAGUCGCUAGUAAUCGCAGAUCAGCAACGCUGCGGUGAAUACGUUCCCGGG